UCCCUUUCUCUUCCCACUGUGGCUCAGUCCCCAGGGCAUGAGGGCUUCAUUCGCACGCGUGGACACACCAGCUCACAAGUGCCAGCUCCAUGCAUACCCCUUGCAGACCUAGGAGGAGUCUCCUAGCAGCAGAGGCUGGAGGCAGGGAAGAUGCCCAGGUGUUGACCCUCAGAUCACAACCCAAUAAACCUCCGGCACACAAAUCUCUGCUUCCUGGGGAACCCAAGAUGUGGUACCAUGAGCCUGACUGCUAACAUCACAGAUUCACAUGAUUUUGAACUUUAUGAUAAAUGGAAUCGUACAGUGUA